AUUGACGUUAUUGGAACAUUUGUGAUAAGGUUGGAAGCAUUUUGAGGUACGUUGAAACUUACUACCCUCAGAACUUUUCUCCAAACUCAUAUCGAAACACGAUUAAACUGAGUUUCAAAAUGUGAGUCCUAGCUUGUGGGGACGAGUGAGUUGGGAUUUAUUUUAUCUUAAUUGAAGAAAAAAAACUAAAUAAAUAAGGAAUAGAACUUGUAGUAUUUUGAAAUGAAAAUACAUGAGUUGCAAAAUAUCUUGGAUAUAGCUAUUCUCAAAUAGUUGAUUUGGCUAUAAAUAUCAUCAUUGAUAAAUGUAAAGGUUUUGGGAGUUACUUAAAUUCACCGAGAUUGACCUUGGACAUUUUUCCUCAUUAGGUCAUGAAACUACAUGUGCCGGUGUAGGCGUAGAACCUACUUUACGAUUGGGGACUACAACAGAGUACUUCCCAUUAGGGGUACUAUUGUGCUACUUUAUUAGCAUGGUUGAGUCGAUUUGUGCGGCACAACGAUGAGACGACCUGAGCAAGUAGGGUAUAUGAUACUUGCCGCUAUGUACAUAACCUAGUUGACCUUCUUUCGUGUCGGUGAUGGUAUAGUGAUCCUGGUAAAUGAAAAAUCUAACAUGAUUUUGCAAAGAUCAAUGAUAAAGGAAGACUUUGAAAUAUGUUUUACCAUAUUAUUUUAUUGUACUUUUAAAUUGUUAAUUGAUAUGAAUACUUCUUUCUUGAUAUCAAUUAUUAUUGCAUAUCUUAUGUCUUCUUAAAUAUCGUCCUAUUUUCUUUUUGGGAAAUGAUUCAUGAUUCGUACUAGGCAUGUGGAGCUUAGGCCUUUCGGCCACAUUUGCAUUUUCUAUUUUCAGGGACUGGACAUGAGUAACUUGGACCGCAUGGAUAGGGUAGCUCUACAUUUUCCGUUGACGUUAUUUGGUGAGACUCCACGCUUGUAUUUGUGGAGGACUUUAUUAUAUUAAUAUCCUUUUAAGCCACCGGGUUAUGCCUUGACUGACUAUUCCAGUUCGUGUCAUAGAGAUUUCAUAGACAACAAUAGUAUUCAUUUUGGGUUGUAAUCCUAUGGUUACUUGCAUGGCGUGCAUGAAC
rnacentral:lncRNA from 1 species